GGGAAAUUGAAAUGAGAGCACGGGAGAGAGGAAAAACUACCUCAUGUUUCAGGAUUCACAAGAGACGUCAUCUGCCCUGGUGGAAACAGCACGUUGGUCAGUCAUCAGUAACCCACGGAGCCAUGAGCGUCUGGCAUCAGAGCAUUUUUAACUUAUGAAGGUGAAUUUCAUCGAAGAGGUGACUGGGGUGAUAACCCAAAUAUGUAAAGUCCGUAUGCUAAACGCGAUGGCAGGAAACCAGAAACCGGGGUCAGGAUAAACAGAAGAACCUCAGGCUACUCUAAGCAGAAGGAAUGUAUGAUAAUGGGACAAAGCACUGACUACAGGCUAAGUUGCAACCAAGUUGCUGUCUGGGGAAAGUUAUCAAGAGGCUCCAGCCAGAACAGUAGAAGACACCAUGGAGUGAUGCUUUUGGGGAGCUGUUCCAAAAUGAAGGAGGAUGUUCAAGAUGAGGGCUGUUUGCUUCGCAUCUAUGUGAGGUAGAGUGAGUUCCAGAGGCAGAGUUUCAGGAUGAAGGUGAGCAACCCAGCUCGCACUGGACUGUGAAAGGGUGAGAAACCUGUAAACCACUGCUAUGUUAGUGUUUUUUGUUACCCUAGCAUAGACUAGGGCUUCCCAGGCACUAGUGGCAAAGAACCUGUCUGCCAAUGCAGGAGACAUAAUACCAUGUAUUAUAGCAAUCAAGUUGAUUUGGUUGCUGGUACACUUGCCCAAAUAAACCAUGAUCUCCUUAAAAUCAGGGACCAGAGUUUUGCAUCUUUGCCAUCUCUGUAUGUCCAACACCCAGCAACCAUACUUGGCAUAAAGUGAUUUGUGGUCUCCCCCCCCCCCAAAAAAUGACCAAGGUACUUGCCUUCCAAAAACCACCUGUACACUUUUUUCUGCUUUUUCAUUCUGUUUGUGGUGGUGGUUUGCAUGGAGUUGGAAGCUACAGUUCUGUCAUAGCUACGGAUAUGUCUCCUUAGAAAGCCUUUACCUAGGAUAACCUCUUUGGGGAGGGCACAAGGAUAUGCCAUGGGAACAUGCCCCUCCCCUCUUGUCCAUGAUUUAUAAUGAAGCAGUUGCCUCAAGGCUGGAAUUAUCCUCCAUUUCUGCU
rnacentral:lncRNA from 1 species